rnacentral:lncRNA from 1 species
GACAUGCUAUUUCAAGCUUAUAAACAAAUUUUCAGUCUUAACACUGGAUUCUACACCGAUAUACAUGGCUUUAAAGUAUCUGUUUGGCUAAAAAAACUGACGAGUAUACAACUGCAUCUGACCAUCGGAGUGCUACACCGAUAAAUAGGAAGGCUAACUUCUGUCCCAAUGCUCUUUUUUGUGACGAAAAUCUAAUAACAGCGCUUUUUAAACUAUAUGAUUUCAUCGGCAUGGACAGGAUGAACCCGCAUCAGAAAAUCCCGGUGCAUCUUUUUCAUCCUCGUUCACCUCUUUGGCUCUCCCUUCACCACCGUUUCCUUCUAUUCUCUUGAGCUCAACUCCCACCUACAUGCUAAGAGUCACCACCACGAUGUAGGCUUCUAGGAUCUCCUUCCUACUCCUAGUAGUCGCCACCAGGAUGCGUCAGAAUUCAAGUGCAUGGAUCCCUAACUCCGGCAAAGGAACAUUCAUAUAAAAGUUUGAAUCAUCAUUUUUGUCAAGGGAUGUAAUAUAUUUUUGUAUUGUUAUUAUUUUUGCUAGACACAACCUCAGCCUAAGGUUGACAAAGGGAUAGAAAUAGAAAUACGUUCUCUCAAAAGGACAAUAUAGGGAUCUCACAAUUUCAAUAGAUGUUCCAACACCUUCUGCACGCCAGAAUUCUCCGCAUCCUUUACCCUUGACAUGUUAUCACUUAAAGUUACCCAAAUACCACCUUGGGUUUCUACCUGAACGGAGUAAACAAAUGUCCUAUCAUGUGCCGGGCCUUCUUCCUUCUCUA